GGCCGCGGGAAUUCGAUUAGAGUUUGAUCAUGGCUCAGGACGAACGCUGGCGGCGCGCUUAACACAUGCAAGUCGAGCGAGAACCAGGGCUUCGGCCCUGGGGAAAGCGGCGAACGGGUGAGUAACACGUGAGUAACCUGUCCUCGGCACCGGGAUAGCCCGGGGAAACCCGGAUUAAUACCGGAUGGCCUUUCGAGCUCUCGGGCUCGUUAGAAAAGGUAGCUUCGGCCUCCGGCCGAGGAGGGACUCGCGGCGGAUUAGCUUGUUGGUGAGGUAACGGCUCACCAAGGCGACGAUCCGUAGCUGGUCUGAGAGGACGAUCAGCCACACUGGGACUGAGACACGGCCCAGACUCCUACGGGAGGCAGCAGUGGGGAAUCUUGCGCAAUGGGGGAAACCCUGACGCAGCGACGCCGCGUGCGGGAUGAAGGCCUUCGGGUUGUAAACCGCUUUCAGCAGGGACGAAAUUGACGGUACCUGCAGAAGAAGGCCCGGCCAACUACGUGCCAGCAGCCGCGGUAAUACGAAUCACUAGUGAAUUCGCGGCCGCCUGCAGGUCGACCAUAUGGGAGAGCUCCC
rnacentral:rRNA from 1 species